UACGUAGGUGGCAAGCGUUGUCCGGAUUUACUGGGCGUAAAGGAUGUGUAGGUGGAUAUUUAAGUCAGAUGUGAAAUACCCGGGCUUAACUUGGGUGCUGCAUUUGAAACUGGAUAUCUAGAGUGCAGGAAAGGUAAGUGGAAUUCCUAGUGUAGCGGUGAAAUGCGUAGAGAUUAGGAAGAACACCAGUGGCGAAGGCGACUUACUGGACUGUAACUGACACUGAGACAUGAAAGCGUGGGGAGCAAACAGG
rnacentral:rRNA from 1 species